rnacentral:lncRNA from 1 species
ACACCUAAAGAUCCAGAGAAGAGAGAGUAGAGAGAGAAAAAAAGGGAGAGAAAGAUUUUCAACCCUUCUAGGCUUCCAAAAAGUCUUGAUCCUUUGAUUCAGUGCGAAAGGAUUCAUGCAGCCUUUUGUCUUCUUCUAGAUUUAGAAAAAGAGAUCUAGAUCCAAGCCAAGUAGCGAGGCUUGCAAGGUGCUAGCACUUAGAUGGCUUCGGUGAUUUGAUCAAACUAUCUCCAUGUGAUACCA